GAUGAACGCUGGCGGCGUGCCUAAUACAUGCAAGUCGAGCGAACAGACGAGGAGCUUGCUCCUCUGACGUUAGCGGCGGACGGGUGAGUAACACGUGGAUAACCUACCUAUAAGACUGGGAUAACUUCGGGAAACCGGAGCUAAUACCGGAUAAUAUAUUGAACCGCAUGGUUCAAUAGUGAAAGACGGUUUUGCUGUCACUUAUAGAUGGAUCCGCGCCGCAUUAGCUAGUUGGUAAGGUAACGGCUUACAAAGGCAACGAUGCGUAGCCGACCUGAGAGGGUGAUCGGCCACACUGGAACUGAGACACGGUCCAGACUCCUACGGGAGGCAGCAGUAGGGAAUCUUCCGCAAUGGGCGAAAGCCUGACGGAGCAACGCCGCGUGGGUGAUGAAGGUCUUCGGAUCGUAAAACUCUGUUAUUAGGGAAGAACAAAUGUGUAAGUAACUAUGCACGUCUUGACGGUACCGAAUCAGAAAGCCACGGCUAACUACGU
rnacentral:rRNA from 1 species